UGGGGAAUUUUGGACAAUGGGGGAAACCCUGAUCCAGCCAUCCCGCGUGUGCGAUGAAGGCCUUCGGGUUGUAAAGCACUUUUGGCAGGAAAGAAACGUCGCGGGUUAAUACCCCGCGAAACUGACGGUACCUGCAGAAUAAGCACCGGCUAACUACGUGCCAGCAGCCGCGGUAAUACGUAGGGUGCAAGCGUUAAUCGGAAUUACUGGGCGUAAAGCGUGCGCAGGCGGUUCGGAAAGAAAGAUGUGAAAUCCCAGAGCCUAACUUUGGAACUGCAUUUUUAACUACCGGGCUAGAGUGUGUCAGAGGGAGGUGGAAUUCCGCGUGUAGCAGUGAAAUGCGUAGAUAUGCGGAGGAACACCGAUGGCGAAGGCAGCCUCCUGGGAUAACACUGACGCUCAUGCACGAAAGCGUGGGGAGCAAACAGGAUUAGAUACCCUGGUAGUCCACGCCCUAAACGAUGUCAACUAGCUGUUGGGGCCUUCGGGCCUUGGUAGCGCAGCUAACGCGUGAAGUUGACCGCCUGGGGAGUACGGUCGCAAGGUUAAAACUCAAAUGAAUUGACGGGGUCAUAGCUGUUUCC
rnacentral:rRNA from 1 species